GUGAGGAAUAUUGCGCAAUGGAUGCAAGUCUGACCCAGCCAUCCCGCGUGCCGGAAGAAGGCCCUCAGGGUUGUAAACGGCUUUUGACGGUGAAGAAUCGACAGGAUGCGUCCUGUUUUGACGGUAGCCGUUGAAUAAGCACCGGCUAACUCCGUGCCAGCAGCCGCGGUAAUACGGAGGGUGCGAGCGUUGACCGGGUUUAUUGGGUUUAAAGGGUGCGUAGGCUGGAAGGUCAGUCAGCGGUGAAAAGCUGUCGCUUAACGAUAGUCUUGCCGCAGAUACUUCCUUUCUUGGAUGAGGAGGAGGCCACUGGAACGGAUGGUGUAGCGGUGAAAUGCAUAGAUAUCAUCCAGAACACCGAUUGCGAAGGCAGGUGGCUGUACCUUAAUCGACGCUGAUGCACGAAAGCAUGGGGAGCAAACAGGAUUAGAAACCCUUGUAGUCC
rnacentral:rRNA from 1 species